GGGAGGGGGUCCCGGCGCUGCCGAGUCUCCGCGCUAUUCAGGGGCCUGUGCAGCCCGACGAGGGAAAGGAGGUUCUUUUCAGUUUCCCAAGAGCAGCAGGAAAUGAACAAAUCACAGGAACUACCAAACUCUUCAAUAGACGGGCUGUACAACUUUGCAUUAUGACCAACAAUACACACGGGUUCCAAUUUCUUAUGUCCUCAACAACACUUGUUAUUGUCCAUCUUUUUUAUUAUAGCCAUCCCAGUGGGUAUGAAAUGGGAUUUCAUUGUGGUUUUGAUGUGAUUUCCUGAAUGACUAAUAUAGUUGAACAUCUUUACAUGUGCAUGUUAU